rnacentral:rRNA from 1 species
UACGUAGGGGGCUAGCGUUGUCCGGAAUCAUUGGGCGUAAAGCGCGCGUAGGCGGCCCGGUAAGUCCGCUCUGAAAGCCCUGGGCUCAACCUGGGAAUUGCAGUGGAUACUGGCGAGCUAGAGUGCGGUAGAGGAUGGUGGAAUUCCCGGUGUAGCGGUGAAAUGCGUAGAGAUCGGGAGGAACACCCGUGGCGAAGGCGGCCAUCUGGACCAGCACUGACGCUGAGGCACGAAAGCGUGGGGAGCAAACAGG